rnacentral:rRNA from 1 species
UGAGUAGUAUUAGUUAUGUUCUUGAAACUUAAAGAAUUUGGCGGUAUCUCAUUCCGUCCAGAGGAAUCUGUCCCGUUAUCGAUAGUCCGCGUUGGACCUUACUUAUUUGAUUUGGUUUGUAUACCGCCGUUUAUUGUUUAUCUUUUUARAGUUGUGUUAAUUUUCUGGUUUCUUUAUUUUGAUAUAUUUCAGGUCAAGGUGCAGCUUGUUUUUAAGUGGAAUGAUGGAUUACAUUGUUAUUUGUUUAUGGAUUAUUGGUUUUAAUAUUAAUAUGAAAUUGGAUUUGGUUGUAAUAGUUUGUARAUUGUUAUUAUGAUAAUUGGUUCUGGGAUAUGCACACAUCSCCCGU